rnacentral:lncRNA from 1 species
ACCGCCAACCAUCUUUCAGCUGCUGCCCAGAAGUCUCCUUAACCCCAGGAUGUCAGCAAGCAAAAGUUUCAUGGCCAGUUAAAAUUUUUUAGUUCUUGAAAAUUUUCUGAAGUGCUUGUAACAAACAGUAUUUUGAUUAUUUUAUUUAUUUUUGUACUUCUUCUUUCUACAAAAUAGAAGAUUUGCUAUGAAACAUCCAUCUUUUUUAUGCUCUUUUUAAUUAUUUUGUAUGCAUCUCAUCUUGACUAGCCUAUGCU